rnacentral:ncRNA from 1 species
UAUAUAUAUUUAAGUAUUAUUUAUCUAGAUUUCUAAGGUGAGUUCAGGGGGGAAAGAAACCUCCCAUGGAGCAGAAGGGCAAAAGCACGCUUGAUCUCCACUCUCAGUACAAAUGCAGACUGUGAACGCGGGUUUCAAUGACCCUGCUGACCUUUUGGGUUUUAAGCAGGAG